ACCAAUUCUGGAGGAUAAGUUGGUUCCUCACGGUGUAAUGGCUCGGACGCCAAAUUAACAAUUGUGGCCAUCCUGAUCAAUGGCUUCUCAAUACCAUUGCAUCCUGGAAACACCUCAUACAUUU
rnacentral:snoRNA from 2 species